UUUUCUAGCUGUUUUGAUAUUUGUUAG
rnacentral:piRNA from 1 species